rnacentral:tRNA from 3 species
GAAAAGUUAGCUCAAUUGGCAGAGCAACAGAGGUUUAUCCACUGUAGGUUGUAAGUUCGAUUCUUACACUUUUCU